UUCUAGAUGCAUUGCUUGUUCUUCAUUCAAUACACUUAACUCCGUAGGAGCUAUAUUUGUAAUUUCUUCCAAAAGCUUUUGACUAAAUUUUGGGUUUUUAACACUUCCAGUUUCAUCGACAAUUAUGCUUAUUAAAUCUGCAAAUCUCAAACCUGUCAAAUCAUUGCCAUAAACUAAUCCCCCUUCUUUUGUUAAAUCUUUAAUUUUACUUUGCAUUAUU